GAGGGGGCAAGCAGCCCCCUUUAUAGUCAGGCAUACCUGGCUGUUGCCAGGCAACUGUGGGGCGGAGCAUACUUGCCUGUUGCCAGGUAGCUGUGGGGGUGGAGCUUAGACUGAAUACCAACAGGGACAAUGGCAAGCAAACCGGAGAGUGUUUCUUAAGUACGCUCUCCAAGGUGGGCGCUGGGACUCCACUGAUACUCGCUAUUGAAAAUGAGCUUCGUAGACAACCAGGACUGAGACCUUCAUCGGAAAUAAGACUCGACGCCCAGACCUGAAAAAUCAGUGUGGCGUGAUGUUGAAGAGAUGCUUGUCCCUAUGCCUUGGGUCUCUGAGUGUGUGGGUUCUUCAGAGAUACCUCAUCAGUCAUGCAAAUUUAUGCAAAUCCAGAGUAGAGUAUCCUUUAAGCCCUGGAGGAAAUCAGUGGUGAGCAAGGCAGCACAGUUUCUACAGCCACAGAGAAAAGACCUUCGGGAUGAGUUCUGAGCAUGUUUUCCUAAGCGUGGUCAGUAUCUGGAAGGAGUUCGGAAUCAGCCUGUGGGUGUGAGUGUAGUGUGCUAGCUCAACCUCACUCAUCUUCCCGUGGUGACCUCUCGUUUUGGCAGCGCAAAUCACUCCUAGCAUCAGGCUGUCCCCAAGCCUGUAAUUGCAGCUACUUUGCAGGAUGAGACAAAGAAUCUCAAGUUCAAAGCCACCCUGGACCACUGAGCAAAUUAAAGGGUGAACAACUUGGUGAGACUCUAUGUUAACAUAAAAAGCAACGACGCAAAAAAAAAAAAAAAAAAAAAGCAACGACGCUGGGGGUGUAGCUCUUGCUGCAGGUGCAAGCCAAGGUUAAAUCAGAGUACGGUAAAAUAAUACGAAGUGGGAGCUGGAGAGGUGGCACAUCAGUUGAGAGCAUUUGUUGCUCCUGUAGAAGACCCAGUUUGGUUCCCAGCACCGACAUGAGGCAUCACAUGAUGACCUGCAACUCCAAUUUUGGGGGAAUCUGAUGCCCUCAGGCCUCUGAAGGUGUCUACACAGGUGAGGUGCACAUAACCCAGGCAGGCGCACAUGCAAACAUGUAACUAAAAACUAAGCCAAUCCUUUUAAAACAAAAUUAAAAAAAAAAAAAAGAAGAAAGUAACUUUCUGGUCCUCCUGCCUGCACCUUCCCAGAGCCGGAGUUAGCUCUGCCUGCCACCACGCUGUAUUUUAGGUGGUUUUAGGGAUGGAAGGUAGGACCUGCGUAGUAGCCAGACACUCUAUCAACUGAGCUACCUCUCCAGGACUACAACAGCAUUCUGAAAUUCUUACACUUAAUGCCACUAACCUGGGCUCUGCCUAUGUGCAGUGGAGAAAUUUUAACUUCAUUUUUGGAACAGCAUUGAGUAAACAUGACUCCCCUUCUUUGCCCAUUGGGGUCCAUACUGGAGGCCGUAGCCAUCACCCUGUGGGGAACCUGGGGAAUGCUUACCAACAGUGGACUUCAGGGUCCUCACACACAAAUGAGGCUAGACAAUGGUACACUUGCCUGCCACCAUGAGAAUGCUCCAAAAAUUGGUUCUGGGAUCUGGAAGAUCACAUGGUCCCACACCUCACUUAAGAUAAGGCAAGAAAAUCCUUGGUUAAUGGGUCAAAGAUGCCAUCUAUGUGUUCAUCUCUUUGUGGGCUCUUUCUUUGCUGGGGCCUGAGAUUCUGUAGCUCAAAAGUACCACCGCUAAAUUCGGAUCUCCACUAGUGACUUUGAAAAUAGCCCAAACAAGCAGGUUUGUAGUGUUUAGAUCCCACCCAUUCCACAUUUCACCCCUAAAAGCUGCACCCAGGAUUCGUUGCCCAUUGAUAAGACAUUGCCUCGAAAUGACAAAUUCUAAACUGCUACCUGCCUUGUGGUUCUCUGAUCCAGAGACAAUCUCCAGGCUUCUGAACACAGGGGGUGGGGAGGGUGGGGGGGUAGGGUGUAGACACCCAAAGCCCUCUCUCAAGCUCUGCUCCCACCCCGCUGCCCCUCCCAACGCUGGCCCCUGGAGCCAAGCCCAUGAAUCCUCGCUGCAAAGGCUUACCACGUGCUUGCCUCUCCUGGUAUUCUUUUUCUCUUGCAGCUGGUUCCAUUGGCAGCCUUGGACUUGGCCUUAGAAAACAAAUGCAAGAAAUUCCAGUUUAAACAAGAUGUGGAAACUGAUUCACAGACUGUUUGAGUAGUCUUAAAAGCAAUGACUUUCCAGGUUAAGUCAAACUUUCUUUAGAGCUAUCCUUCCCAGCAGAGAAGAUAUUGGCCACACAGAGCUACCUUAAGUUUGCUUCAUCUCUUAAGAUGUGCGGUGUUGUAAAAUACAGAUUUUGAUGAUUUGUAUAGAGAAAAGAAUAUAACAUACCACACUAACAA